rnacentral:rRNA from 1 species
UACGUAGGGCGCAAGCGUUGUCCGGAAUUAUUGGGCGUAAAGGGCGCGUAGGCGGGCUGCCGCGUCCGGGGUGAAAGCCCCCCGCUCAACGGGGGAACGGCCUCGGAUACGGGCGAUCUCGAGGGGGGUAGGGGCACCUGGAACUGUGGGUGGAGCGGUGAAAUGCGUUGAUAUCCACAGGAACUCCGGUGGCGAAGGCGAGGUGCUGGACCCCAUCUGACGCUGAGGCGCGAAAGCCAGGGGAGCGAACGGG